UACAGAGGUCCCGAGCGUUGUUCGGAUUCAUUGGGCGUAAAGGGUGCGUAGGCGGCGGGGAAAGUCUGAUGUGAAAUCCUGGGGCUCAACCCUGGAACUGCAUUGGAUACUUCCUUGCUAGAGUACUGGAGAGGAAACUGGAAUUUACGGUGUAGCAGUGAAAUGCGUAGAGAUCGUAAGGAAGACCAGUGGCGAAGGCGAGUUUCUGGACAGUUACUGACGCUGAGGCACGAAGGCCAGGGGAGCGAACGGG
rnacentral:rRNA from 1 species